rnacentral:misc_RNA from 1 species
AACCUUAUGGACCUGCGGGCGUAUACCUGCGGAGGGAUCAUUACUGAGUGAGGGCCUUCGGGCUCGACCUCCAACCCUUUGUGAACACAACUUGUUGCUUCGGGGGCGACCCUGCCGUUUCGACGGCGAGCGCCCCCGGAGGCCUUCAAACACUGCAUCUUUGCGUCGGAGUUUAAGUAAAUUAAACAAAACUUUUAACAAUGGAUCU